rnacentral:rRNA from 1 species
GACGAACGCUGGCGGCGUGCUUAACACAUGCAAGUCGAACGGAAAGGCCCUGCUUUUGUGGGGUGCCCGAGUGGCGAACGGGUGAGUAACACGUGAGUAACCUGCCCUUGACUUUGGGAUAACUUCAGGGAACUGGGGCUAAUACCGGAUAGGAGCUCCUGCUGCAUGGUGGGGGUUGGAAAGUUUCGGCGGUUGGGGAUGGACUCGCGGCUUAUCAGCUUGUUGGUGGGGUAGUGGCUUACCAAGGCUUUGACGGGUAGCCGGCCUGAGAGGGUGACCGGCCACAUUGGGACUGAGAUACGGCCCAGACUCCUACGGGAGGCAGCAGUGGGGAAUAUUGCACAAUGGGCGGAAGCCUGAUGCAGCAACGCCGCGUGCGGGAUGACGGCCUUCGGGUUGUAAACCGCUUUCGCCUGUGACGAAGCGUGAGUGACGGUAAUGGGUAAAGAAGCACCGGCUAACUACGUGCCAGCAGCCGCGGUGAUACGUAGGGUGCGAGCGUUGUCCGGAUUUAUUGGGCGUAAAGGGCUCGUAGGUGGUUGAUCGCGUCGGAAGUGUAAUCUUGGGGCUUAACCCUGAGCGUGCUUUCGAUACGGGUUGACUUGAGGAAGGUAGGGGAGAAUGGAAUUCCUGGUGGAGCGGUGGAAUGCGCAGAUAUCAGGAGGAACACCAGUGGCGAAGGCGGUUCUCUGGGCCUUUCCUGACGCUGAGGAGCGAAAGCGUGGGGAGCGAACAGGCUUAGAUACCCUGGUAGUCCACGCUGUAAACGGUGGGUACUAGGUGUGGGGUCCAUUCCACGGGUUCCGUGCCGUAGCUAACGCUUUAAGUACCCCGCCUGGGGAGUACGGCCGCAAGGCUAAAACUCAAAGGAAUUGACGGGGCCCCGCACAAGCGGCGGAGCAUGCGGAUUAAUUCGAUGCAACGCGUAGAACCUUACCUGGGUUUGACAUGGAUCGGGAGUGCUCAGAGAUGGGUGUGCCUCUUUUGGGGUCGGUUCACAGGUGGUGCAUGGCUGUCGUCAGCUCGUGUCGUGAGAUGUUGGGUUAAGUCCCGCAACGAGCGCAACCCUUGUUCACUGUUGCCAGCACGUUAUGGUGGGGACUCAGUGGAGACCGCCGGGGUCAACUCGGAGGAAGGUGGGGAUGACGUCAAGUCAUCAUGCCCCUUAUGUCCAGGGCUUCACGCAUGCUACAAUGGCUGGUACAGAGAGUGGCGAGCCUGUGAGGGUGAGCGAAUCUCGGAAAGCCGGUCUCAGUUCGGAUUGGGGUCUGCAACUCGACCUCAUGAAGUCGGAGUCGCUAGUAAUCGCAGAUCAGCAACGCUGCGGUGAAUACGUUCCCGGG